rnacentral:misc_RNA from 1 species
GGGUACAGAAAAGCACUAUCAGAGCAGCGAAAGAAAAAAGCCUGUUACAUGGAAACCAAACUUGUUAAAUAAGACCAUGGCCUUCAGUAAUCAGCCUGGAUUUUUAACAUACUUCAAAAUGUUGAUUAUUAAUAACACAGCAUAAUAGCAUUAGUGUUGCACCUAAGACCAUGGCCUUUAGUAAUCAGCCUGGAGUUUUAACAUACUGCAACUUGUUGAUUACAAAAUAACACAGCAUAAUAGCAAUAGUGUUGACCUAUUGUCC